GUUCUGAAUUCCAUACCUAUAUGCCCGAAAAAAAAUCAUUACUUUGGCAUUGUUUUGUUUGUAUUUAGGAGCCGGAUUCAACGAACACAAUUUACUACGUGUCAAACUUCCAUCUCCUACCCAUUGUGGAAGUCAUAGUAGGUCCGACUAUGUGGGAUCAUGAUAGACUCCUAGAUGAGGAUCUACUCCCAAGAACACACUUUGUUGGUUUUGAACAUGAAAGAUACAGCGGAAUGGAAGAAGGGC
rnacentral:lncRNA from 1 species